AGAGUUUGAUCCUGGCUCAGGAUGAACGCUAGCGGCAGGCUUAACACAUGCAAGUCGAGGGGUAACAUUGUGCUUGCACAGAUGACGACCGGCGCACGGGUGCGUAACGCGUAUAGAACCUACCUUUUACAGGGGAAUAGCCUUUAGAAAUGAAGAUUAAUGCCUCAUGGUAUUGUAGACUGGCAUCAGUUUAUAAUUAAAGAUUUAUCGGUAAAAGAUGGCUAUGCGUCCUAUUAGUUAGUUGGUAAGGUAACGGCUUACCAAGACAGCGAUAGGUAGGGGUCCUGAGAGGGAGAUCCCCCACACUGGUACUGAGACACGGACCAGACUCCUACGGGAGGCAGCAGUGAGGAAUAUUGGACAAUGGAGGCAACUCUGAUCCAGCCAUGCCGCGUGCAGGAUGACGGCCCUAUGGGUUGUAAACUGCUUUUAUGUAGGAAGAAACACUCUCACGUGUGAGAGCUUGACGGUACUACAAGAAUAAGGACCGGCUAACUCCGUGCCAGCAGCCGCGGUAAUACGGAGGGUCCAAGCGUUAUCCGGAAUCAUUGGGUUUAAAGGGUCCGUAGGCGGGCUAUUAAGUCAGAGGUGAAAGUUUGCAGCUCAACUGUAAAAUUGCCUUUGAAACUGGUAGUCUUGAAUUAUUAUGAAGUGGUUAGAAUAAGUAGUGUAGCGGUGAAAUGCAUAGAUAUUACUUAGAAUACCAAUUGCGAAGGCAGAUCACUAAUAAUAUAUUGACGCUGAGGGACGAAAGCGUGGGGAGCGAACAGGAUUAGAUACCCUGGUAGUCCACGCCGUAAACGAUGGAUACUAGCUGUUCGGAUUUAUCUGAGUGGCUAAGCGAAAGUGAUAAGUAUCCCACCUGGGGAGUACGUUCGCAAGAAUGAAACUCAAAGGAAUUGACGGGGGCCCGCACAAGCGGUGGAGCAUGUGGUUUAAUUCGAUGAUACGCGAGGAACCUUACCAGGGCUUAAAUGUAGUCUGACAGGCGUGGAAACAUGCUUUUCUUCGGACAGAUUACAAGGUGCUGCAUGGUUGUCGUCAGCUCGUGCCGUGAGGUGUCAGGUUAAGUCCUAUAACGAGCGCAACCCCUGUUGUUAGUUGCCAGCGAGUCAUGUCGGGAACUCU
rnacentral:rRNA from 1 species